GCUGGGCUGGGGCUCAGUGGUAAAGCGCUCGCCUGGCAUGCAAGAGGCACUGAGUUCAAUGAUGGUGCACACCU
rnacentral:tRNA from 1 species